GAUGAACGCUGGCGGCGUGCCUAAUACAUGCAAGUCGAGCGAACAGACGAGGAGCUUGCUCCUCUGACGUUAGCGGCGGACGGGUGAGUAACACGUGGAUAACCUACCUAUAAGACUGGGAUAACUUCGGGAAACCGGAGCUAAUACCGGAUAAUAUAUUGAACCGCAUGGUUCAAUAGUGAAAGACGGUUUUGCUGUCACUUAUAGAUGGAUCCGCGCCGCAUUAGCUAGUUGGUAAGGUAACGGCUUACCAAGGCAACGAUGCGUAGCCGACCUGAGAGGGUGAUCGGCCACACUGGAACUGAGACACGGUCCAGACUCCUACGGGAGGCAGCAGUAGGGAAUCUUCCGCAAUGGGCGAAAGCUUGACGGAGCAACGCCGCGUGAGUGAUGAAGGUCUUCGGAUCGUAAAACUCUGUUAUUAGGGAAGAACAAAUGUGUAAGUAACUAUGCACGUCUUGACGGUACCUAAUCAGAAAGCCACGGCUAGCUACGUG
rnacentral:rRNA from 1 species